UACGAAGGGGACUAGCGUUGUUCGGAAUUACUGGGCGUAAAGCGCACGUAGGCGGAUUUGUUAGUCAGGGGUGAAAUCCCGGGGCUCAACCUCGGAACUGCCUUUGAUACUGCAAGUCUCGAGUCCGAUAGAGGUGGGUGGAAUUCCUAGUGUAGAGGUGAAAUUCGUAGAUAUUAGGAAGAACACCGGUGGCGAAGGCGGCCCACUGGAUCGGCAUUGACGCUGAGGCGCGAAAGCCAGGGGAGCAAACGGG
rnacentral:rRNA from 1 species